rnacentral:rRNA from 1 species
GAAAGUAAGCAAGGGCAGACGGUGGAUGCCUUGGCUCUCGGAGGCGACGAAGGACGUGAUAAGCUGCGAAAAGCCCGGGGGAGGCGCAAAUAGCCGUUGAUCCCGGGAUAUCCGAAUGGGGCAACCCGGCAGGCUGAAGGCCUGUCAUCCCGAAAGGGAGGCGAACGUGGGGAACUGAAACAUCUAAGUACCCAUAGGAGGAGAAAAUAAACAAUGAUUCCGUAAGUAGUGGCGAGCGAACACGGAAGAGCCCAAACCCAUGUCGUCUAGGCGACACGGGGGUUGUAGGACCACGACGUGGCAAGAAGGAAGGGAAAUGGAACGCCUUGGAAAAGUCGGCCAUAGACGGUGAAAGCCCGGUACAUGACUCCCUUACGAAGCCUAGUGGUAUCCUGAGUAGCGCGGGGCACGAGAAAUCUUGCGUGAAGCAGCGGGGCCCAUCCCGUAAGGCUAAAUACUCCCGAGAGACCGAUAGCGAACCAGUACCGUGAGGGAAAGGUGAAAAGAACCCCGAGCAGGGGAGUGAAAUAGACCCUGAACCCGUCUGCCUACAAGCGGUCGGAGCGUCGUAAUGACGUGACGGCGUGCCUUUUGCAUAAUGAACCUACGAGUUACCUUCCCCGGCAAGGUUAAGUACCUAAGGUACGGAGCCGAAGCGAAAGCGAGUCUGAACAGGGCGCCAAGUCGGGGGGGGUAGACGCGAAACCGAGUGAUCUACCCUUGGCCAGGUUGAAGGUUGGGUAACACCAACUGGAGGACCGGAUGGGUAAGCGUUGAAAAGCUUUCCAAUGAGCUGAGGGUAGGGGUGAAAGGCUAAUCAAACUCGGAGAUAGCUCGUACUCCCCGAAAUGCAUUUAGGUGCAGCCUCUUUAUAGUAUAUCGUGAGGUAGAGCGACUGAUUGGAUGCGAGGGCUUCACCGCCUAUCAAGUCCAGAUAAACUCCGAAUGCGCGAUAUAUAUUUACAGGGAGUGAGGGCGCGGGUGCUAAGGUCCGUGUCCGAGAGGAGAAGAAUCCAGACCACCGGCUAAGGCCCCCAAAUGAUCGUUAAGUUGAACUAACGAGGUCGGAUCGCAGAGACAGCUAGGAUGUUGGCUUGGAAGCAGCCAUUCAUUUAAAGAGUGCGUAACAGCUCACUAGUCGAGCGAUCUGGCGUGGAUAAUAAUCGGGCAUAAACGAUCUGCCGAAGCCGUGGAUGUCGCAAGACAUGGUAGGGGAGCAUUCCAUGCCGCGUCGAAGAUGAGGGAUGACCCUUGUUGGAGCGCAUGGAAAAGCAAAUGUAGGUAUGAGUAACGAUAAGGGGGGCGAGAAACCCCCCCGCCGAAAGACCAAGGUUUCCUGAUCAACGCUAAUCGGAUCAGGGUGAGUCGGGACCUAAGGCAAAGCCGAACGGCGCCGCCGAUGGAAGAAUGGGUUAAUAUUCCCAUACUGCCUCAUGGAGUGACGUGGAGACGGAGAAGUGACAGUCCUGCCGGCUGACGGAAUAGCCGGUUGAAGGGUGUAGAUAUUGAUUCCCGUAGGCAAAUCCGCGGGGAGAGUCGAACCUGAGAGUAUACGGAGCGCUUGCGCAACGUAAUAUGGACGUAACCAUGCUCCCGAGAAAAUCCGCUAAACUUAUCCAUGCGGCACCCGUACCGUAAACGGACACACGUGGUCGGGUUGAGAAUACUGAGGCGCUCGAGUGAUUCACGGUUAAGGAACUAGGCAAAUUGACCCUGUAACUUCGGGAUAAAGGGUCCUCGUCGUAAGGCGAGGCGCAGAGAAUAGGUCCAGGCAACUGUUUAACAAAAACACAUGGCUGUGCUAAAUGGAAACAUGAUGUAUACAGCCUGACACCUGCCCGGUGCCGGAAGGUUAAGAGGAGAUGUCAUCCGCGAGGAGAAGCGUUGAAUUGAAGCCCCGGUAAACGGCGGCCGUAACUAUAACGGUCCUAAGGUAGCGAAAUUCCUUGUCGGGUAAGUUCCGACCUGCACGAAUGGUGUAAUGAUCUGGACACUGUCUCAACCGUGAGCUCGGUGAAAUUGUAGUAUCGGUGAAGAUGCCGAUUACCCGCGAUGGGACGAAAAGACCCCGUGAACCUUUACUAUAGCUUUACAUUGA